rnacentral:lncRNA from 1 species
GGCGGUGUGGGCUCAGAGUAACGGCGGCCCUGGGCGUUAGGCUUUGCCGAGCGCCCGUAGUUAAGCCCUCGGCAAAGCUCUGCCGGAGGUCAGGCUUUGCCGAGGGCCCGCCAGCCUGCCCUCGGCAACUCCCCUCUUUGCCGAGGGUCUGGAGUGGGCCCUCGGCAAAUUUUUUUUUAUUUUUUUGGAUCCAUGUUUUUUUUUGUGUGGCACACCUACACUAUUCUUAAGUACAUGCCAAAGUUUGGUUCAUUUUGAAAUAACUUUGGUAUAUUUUUUGGAUUUUUUGAAUUUGUUGAAUUUUUCGACAAAUUUCAAAUUCAAACUAUAGGUGCAUU